UUUUCUCUUUUUCUUUUUCUCCUUUUUCUCCUUUUUUCCCAACUGUUAUUUUCCCUUUUUCUCCAUCAUCAUCAGAGCGAGGGGAGGUGGUCUUUGAAACAGUCGGAGAAGUAGAGCGAGAGAGAGUCGCUUUUCUUUCAAAUUUGUGUCUUGAUUCCUGAAGAGAGAGAGGAAGGACAACAGAGUCU
rnacentral:ribozyme from 13 species